GAGAUCCGUCGGUACGGUGAAGGAAAAUUUUAGCAGCUGUUUGGCCAUUUUGUGCGGUUUCGCUGGCGGAUAUUGAAAUCUGUUUUCAGUAGACAACUGUGUUUCCGUCUCGAGAUCCGUGAGGAUUUGUAUCUAUUGGUGUCGGAUUGUUGCUGACUGGCCGUAACGAUUACGACGAAUACGACGACGAUAUUGGCGACGAGCAGCCGGUUGGCUAGACAAUUCCUUUUCAUUUUUGGAGUACAACCGUCGAAGUGUCUGGUAGCGUUGCCACGCUUCGGUAACAAGUUCAUUCAUAAUUGACUACAGUUGGAGGCAGAAUGACGGCCACGAUACUCCGAAGUCAAAUGAAGGCCAUUGGCGAUGCGCGCGUCCGGAGAUGUCAAUCGAUGAUGGUACAUGUCGAUCCCUAUGUCGAUGAUCCCGAUCCAUUACCACAACGAAGAACGCGUGUCGAUGAUGAGUCAGCGAAAAGCUCUUCCGGGGAUUCUCGGAGUGAGCAUUGUGGGGGUUCCAGUCGCCGGUCAAACCGCAUCGGAAAAAGAAUAAGUGAAUCGAAUUUGGCGCUCGAUGGCCUGCCGAGGCAUUCGAAAAGAACAAGAAGAAAGAAUAUUUUAAGCGAAUUUGAAUCAUUUUAGUUUUAAAUGAUCGACCCGGAUAAAAAAUAUCAUUAAAAUAUCAUAAAUUUUAUUGUUACAACACCAUUUAAAACAUAAUUUUUACCAUUGAAUAUAAUGGAAUUUUGACAAUAAAAUCACAUAAGAAAUAA